GACGGUACUUGAUGAAUAAGCCACGGCUAAUUCCGUGCCAGCAGCCGCGGUAAUACGGGAGUGGCAAGCGUUAUCCGGAAUUAUUGGGCGUAAAGCGUCCGCAGGCGGUCUUACAAGUCUGUCGUUAAAGCGUGGAGCUUAACUCCAUUUCGGCGAUGGAAACUGUAAGACUAGAGUGUGGUAGGGGCAGAGGGAAUUCCCGGUGUAGCGGUGAAAUGCGUAGAUAUCGGGAAGAACACCAGUGGCGAAGGCGCUCUGCUGGGCCAUAACUGACGCUCAUGGACGAAAGCUAGGGGAGCGAAAGGGAUUAGAUACCCCUGUAGUCCUAGCCGUAAACGAUGAACACUAGGUGUCGGGGGAAUCGACCCCCUCGGUGUCGUAGCCAACGCGUUAAGUGUUCCGCCUGGGGAGUACGCACGCAAGUGUGAAACUCAAAGGAAUUGACGGGGCCCGCACAAGCGGUGGAGUAUGUGGUUUAAUUCGAUGCAACGCGAAGAACCUUACCAGGGUUUGACAUCCUGCGAAUCCCUUGGAAACUUGGGAGUGCCUUCGGGAGCGCAGUGACAGGUGGUGCAUGGCUGUCGUCAGCUCGUGUCGUGAGAUGUUGGGUUAAGUCCCGCAACGAGCGCAACCCACGUCUUUAGUUGCCAGCAUUCAGUUGGGCACUCUAGAGAGACCGCCGGUGAUAAACCGGAGGAAGGUGUGGAUGACGUCAAGUCAUCAUGCCCCUUACAUCCUGGGCUACACACGUACUACAAUGCUACGGACAAAGGGCAGCAGACUCGCGAGAGCUAGCCAAUCCCAUAAACCGUGGCUCAGUUCAGAUCGUAGGCUGCAACUCGCCUACGUGAAGGAGGAAUCGCUAGUAAUCGCAGGUCAGCAUACUGCGGUGAAUACGUUCCCGGGCCUUGUACACACCGCCCGUCACACCAUGGAAGUUGGCCACGCCCGAAGUCGUUACUCCAACCCUUGUGGAGGAGGAUGC
rnacentral:rRNA from 1 species